rnacentral:rRNA from 1 species
AACGAACGCUGGCGGCAGGCCUAACACAUGCAAGUCGAGCGCCCCGCAAGGGGAGCGGCGGACGGGUGAGUAACGCGUGGGAAUAUGCCCUUUGCUACGGAAUAGUCUCGGGAAACUGGGGGUAAUACCGUAUACGCCCUUUGGGGGAAAGAUUUAUCGGCGAAGGAUUAGCCCGCGUUGGAUUAGGUAGUUGGUGGGGUAAUGGCCUACCAAGCCGACGAUCCAUAGCUGGUUUGGGAGGAUGAUCAGCCACACUGGGACUGAGACACGGCCCAGACUCCUACGGGAGGCAGCAGUGGGGAAUCUUAGACAAUGGGGGCAACCCUGAUCUAGCCAUGCCGCGUGAGUGAUGAAGGCCUUAGGGUUGUAAAGCUCUUUCAGCUGGGAAGAUAAUGACGGUACCAGCAGAAGAAGCCCCGGCUAACUCCGUG